UCGUGACCUCUGCAUGUCAAGUUGUUAUUGUUGUUCUGUAGUCCUAAGUCACCUCUGGCACACAUGUCAAUUGAACUUCUAAGUGCGUAAAAUAAAUUCUUAUGUUCCAUGUAAUGUAGAGGUAAGAUCUCUCCUACACCUCUGAAGCGAGACCGCAAUCUGGUUUCGAUUCUUGGUUAUAAUUAUUUUAUUCCAUUUACGUCAUAAAUAUCUGCGAAGGACAGCAAACAAUCUAUCUCCUUGUCUGUAAACCUGGGGUUUAUGUAAAAAGUUAGUUAUAUUAAAUAUUUUAAAACAAUACUUUUCGAGGUGUCUUUGAGAUAUAUUUUGAUAUUGUUUUUCCAAUAUGAAACCAAUGUUUUUUUAAAAAUCUUUAUUAAAAAUAUGAGGUAAGGGAAAUUAAGUGGACCAAUGGCAUGAAUAUGUUAAGUGGGGAUAUACUGCAUGCCAUACGUAAAAAAAUACUCGAUAAAUUAAAAUUUGCUUGUUUUAGUUCAAGAAAGAAAACGAAAACCAAACGGUAACGGGUUUUUUCCCCCGUCUCUUAUUAUCUAAUCCUUUGGUUAUUAGCAUCCAGUGUAUACAGACCCUUCUCAUUACUGAGUCCUACAUUUAUUCGUUGAAAGUUCUUUAUUUCAUUGAAUUACGCAUCAAUUUCUAGUACAGUCUGCGUUACUGAUGACUCGUUUCAUAUCGGCUAUCUCGCCAGAGAAUAAACAAAGAAUGGGAAUGUGAGGAUAUCGCCCAAAGUAUACUAUGCAAUACGAACUUUCGAGUCUAAUUUUCAUCCAUGGUAGCUAAUUUUAUUUCCAAGUAUUGAAUACAAUCCAGUGCUUUCUUUACUUCUGUCGCCAUUAUCAAGAAUACCAUUCCAUGUUGUCACUAGACCCUUUAAAAAUAGCAGUAAAGCCUCCCUUAAACAACGCCCAACCUUUAAAAAGAAGUAAGGACAUAUUAAGUAACGUAGUCUUAUUCCUAAAAAAAAAAAAAAAAAUACACGAUUUUAUCUGGAAUGCUUUUUAUCAUGGAUCUGCUAUGAUCCUUGAUUAGCCCCAGACUUGACUGGAGUUAAAUAAUACUUUACUUUUGAAUGUACAUAAUCAGCCUUCUCAUCAUUCAUUAAAAAAAAAUUAUUAAUUUUGUUAAAGCUUAGUUGGAAGCAAUGCAGUACAUAUAGGCCUUCCUCAAGGCCCCUAAAACUACUGGGAAGAAAAGUUAUCCUCAGGCCAGCAACUUGGUGGAAAUACAACUGACUGGACUCUGCUACAGGCAUCUAAAGGCUUGAUGGUUGCGUUAAAUUUGGUGAUGGAUAAGAUCUACCAUUUAGACAGAUGUACUGACAGCUUCAACAUGAUAGAUUUCAAUCUGACAUAUUGUGCUCAUAUUCUAGCUACCAACCACAGAGAAUAAGAUAUUAGCUUGUAGCUGAGUCCUUUGAAUUUGAGAUUGGGAAAGAACCAGGGGUCUCUGGCAAUGAUGUAUUAACUGUGUCAAGAGAAAGAUACACUCUCAGUUGUCAGGAUGGCUGAUCUCAUCCAACAAGUCCAAGACAUCAUCAAGGACAAUUCCAGCAGGUUAAUGAAAGCCAUUACCAAGGUGGCAAUGCCCAAUAUCAGAUUUUUGGUACAUAAAGACAUCAGGUAUUUGUCCUACAUGAUAAGGAAACAACAGUCUCACAUUCAUUAAGAAUCAGGAGAACUGCCUGAUCAUGUGACUCCAACAUCACAUGGUCAGCUAACUCAUUGGAUUUGAAUCCCUGAUUGCUACUGCUGCAUCAGAAGUGUUGUUGGGGGUUAGACGAUGACUACUGCUGUGGGUGUGGUGGAUGAGAACCACCUAAUCUUGUUUUGCAUCAGAACUGAAGAUGGCUUCAUUGAACAGCUCCUUUGACAAAUCUAAAUGAAUGUCCCUAUUUUGUGGGAGUAUGUUACUUUUA